rnacentral:rRNA from 1 species
GAUGAACGCUAGCGGCAAGCUUAAUACAUGCAAGUCGAGGGGCAGCACGGGAGCAAUCCUGGUGGCGACCGGCAAACGGGUGCGGAACACGUACGCAACCUUCCCAUAACUGGUGAAUAGCCUUUCGAAAGAGAGAUUAAUACACCGUAACAUAACGAAGAGGCAUCUCUUUGUUAUUAUAGUAGCAAUACGGUUUUGGAUGGGCGUGCGCCUGAUUAGGUAGUUGGCGGGGUAACGGCCCACCAAGCCUGCGAUCAGUAACUGGUGUGA